rnacentral:misc_RNA from 1 species
UUGAGGUAGAGCUUUCAAAUCUGAUCUGGAUUCACCAAUGCUUGUUAAUUGAUGCAAUACCUUCUGGACCCUCAAUUCUUGUAGCUUUUCUUCAUAAUUUCUUGGAUGAUCCUUCCACGCAAAGAAAGCUUCAUCAUCCCCCCAAGAGUCUUCUCUGCCUCCGGCAAUAUCUGAAUCUAAAAACCACUUUCUGAUCAAGUCCAUUGCAGAUUUAUAUGACAGAUGGUCACCAGCUGCGUCUUCCAGAGUCUUGAUCAGUGAAUCCUCAGCAAUUCUCCUACGCAACCUUUUGUAGAAGUAACCACGGGAUUUGCCCCAGUCCACAACUUCUCUGAUUACCCCCUUUGCAGCCAUCCUUAGGGAAGAA